GGCCGCAUAGCGUAGUGGAUUAGCGGGUUUGACUUCAGAUCAAAAGGUCGUGGGUUCAACUCCCACUAUGGUCG
rfam:Picea glauca, whole genome shotgun sequence.